rnacentral:rRNA from 1 species
UACAGAGGGUGCAAGCGUUAAUCGGAAUUACUGGGCGUAAAGCGUGCGUAGACGGUAGCGUAAGUCGGGUGUGAAAUCCCCGGGCUCAACCUGGGAACUGCAUUUGUGACUGCAUGGCUAGAGUACGGUAGAGGGGGAUGGAAUUCCGCGUGUAGCAGUGAAAUGCGUAGAUAUGCGGAGGAACACCGAUGGCGAAGGCAAUCCCCUGGACCUGUACUGACGCUCAUGCACGAAAGCGUGGGGAGCAAACAGG